rnacentral:rRNA from 1 species
UACGGAGGGUGCAAGCGUUAUCCGGAUUCACUGGGUUUAAAGGGUGCGUAGGCGGGCAGGUAAGUCCGUGGUGAAAUCUCUGAGCUUAACUCAGAAACUGCCAUGGAUACUAUUUGUCUUGAAUGUUGUGGAGGUAAGCGGAAUAUGUCAUGUAGCGGUGAAAUGCUUGGAUAUGACAUAGAACACCAAUUGCGAAGGCAGCUUACUACACAAAUAUUGACGCUGAGGCACGAAGGCGUGGGGAUCAAACAGG